rnacentral:sRNA from 1 species
GAUCCCGAGAGAUAUUGCUGCGGCCGAA